UAUAUAUAUAUCAAACAAGUGAAGAGUACGUGAAGAUGUCAGAUCUCGGGAUUUCACUUCAAGAUUUGAUCUUCGGAGAAGCAAAUCUAGGCAACUACACAACAGCUAUGAAAUAGAACGACAAUGACCUCAACAACUACACAGCCACCUCUAAUCCCUAAAAUAAUUAAAUCCGUGAAAAAGCAUAAUCUAAAAAGUAAAUACUUUAAUAAGUUUUGUGGUCAAAAAUACUUUGUAAGCUUACAAAAUCUCUAUUUAUACAAAUUAUUUCGAUUUGAUCUUAGAAGCUUUUCGUGAUACUUGAGAAAAUUGAUUAAUAUAUGCAUAACUUAAUUGAGUUCCAAGUUAAUGGAAAAGUAUCGAUUUUUACGAAUACAACAAAGUUUAGAUAUAUUUUCAGAAACCAAAGAGUAAAAGUUUUACUGUUUCUGCACUGUGACUGUAG
rnacentral:lncRNA from 1 species